rnacentral:tRNA from 1 species
GCUUCGAGCGCAGGGUUCGCAUACGGCUCUUACAAGGCUGUUGUGCUUGGUUCAAGUCCAAGUCGAAGCACCA